UUAAAUUUGAAAAGUCUUCCUAUUAGCCAAUGAGGUCAAUCCGAGGCACGAUUAUUGCUAGUUGAAAACUUUUCCCAAUACCCCGCCGUGACGACUUGCAAUAUAGUCGGCACCGGCAAUUUUUGACGGUUUCUUUCU
rnacentral:snRNA from 14 species